UAAAAAAAUUCGUUCCGAAAAAGUUCGAAAUGUGGAACUUCGAGUGGAACUUUUUUUUCACUAUCAAAAUUAUAAAAAUUCAAAAAAGUUAUACUGAAUUAAAAAAAAAAUUAUUGAUUAAUAAAAUUAAAGGUGAUCCUGAAGUUAACAGACAAGUAAUUUUUUUUUUCUAACAGAUCAAUUGAAAAAAAAAAUGCACAUACAGAAAAUUUAAAAAACUACAGGUGCAAUUUUUAAAAAUACUUUUUUUAUAAUUUAUCUUAUUGAAAAAAAUCCAAAAGUUAUUAGACGUCGGCUAAAUUCAGUAUCGUAACGUCUGUAAUUUUAAUAGUAAAAAAAAGUCUCACUCAAAGUUCUAAUCUGUCUCAAGUUUAGAAGUUCCACAGAUCAAACUUUUUUGGACUCUUUUUGGAAUGAAUUUUUUUUUACCCGAGCUGUUGUAAAAAAUGUUAGAGGUAAACUCUAUGGCUUGCGAGGCAUUUAAUUAGUUGACACGAUUUUUUAGAUCUGACGGUUUAUAUCUUUUCAAUCUUCUGCUAUUUGUUCGUUGUUCAGUAGUUGGAAUUCCGAGAUCUCUGUGCAUGAUCUUGUUUGACACAAACCAUGCCGCGUCAACUAUUGUUCUUAGUGUUUUGGACUGGAAUCGCUGAAGUAUUUCAAUGUUGGAAUUGCUGGCAGUUCCCCAUAGCUGUAUGCUGUAAGUCCAGAUCGGCUUUAUGAUUAUCUUGUAUUUGUUUACUUUGUUGUCAAGUGAUAGUUAGGAUUUCUUGCCAAUGAGCCAGUAUAUAUUUCUCAUUUUAAGUUCGAGUUCUUAAAAUAAUUAGAAUGAUAGUAAUAAUUAACAAGUAAUGUAUGAAAGUUAUAUUAUUUAUUGGUGAUUAAUUAAAAAUAAAACAAAUGUAUGAUAAAAGUUAUUAACAAUUAAAUUAAAUCACGAAUUAUUUAUUACAAAGUUAAA